rnacentral:rRNA from 1 species
CUUAAUACAUGCAAGUCGAGGGGUAACAGGCCACUUCGGUGGUGCUGACGACCGGCGCACGGGUGCGUAACGCGUAUGCAACCUACCUUUAACUGGGACAUGGCCCCGAGAAAUCGGGAUUAAUAUCCCAUAAUAUCCAGAAAACGCAUGUUUUCUGGAUUAGAGUUCCGGCGGUUAAAGAUGGGCAUGCGUGGCAUUAGUUAGUUGGUGAGGUAACGGCUCACCAAGGCAAUGAUGCCUAAGGGGUCCUGAGGAGGGUUUUCCCCCACAAUGGUACUGAGACACGGACCAGACUCCUACGGGAGGCAGCAGUAAGGAAUAUUGGGCAAUAGGCGCAAGCCUGACCCAGCCAUGCCGCGUGCAGGAUGACGGCCCUAUAGGUAGUAACUGCUUUUGUAUAGGAAAAAACUCCCGCACGUAGUGCGGGACUGAUUGUACCAUACGAAAUAAGCAUCGGCUAACUCCGUGACACAGCAAGACGCGAGAAUACGGAGGAUGCAAGCGUUAUCCGGAUUCAUUGGGUUUAAAGGGUGCGCAGGCGGAUUAGUAAGUCAGUGGUGAAAGCUCCCGGCUCAACCGGGAAAAUGCCAUAGAUACUGUUAAUCUUGAGUACAGUUGAGGUAGGCGGAAUGUAUCAUGUAGCGGUGAAAUGCAUAGAUAUGAUACAGAACACCGAUAGCGAAGGCAGCUUACCAAACUGUAACUGACGCUCAUGCACGAAAGCGUGGGGAGCAAACAGGAUUAGAUACCCUGGUAGUCCACGCUGUAAACUAUGAUCACUCGCUGUUGGCGAUACACUG